rnacentral:rRNA from 1 species
UACGUAGGGGGCUAGCGUUGUCCGGAAUCAUUGGGCGUAAAGCGCGCGUAGGCGGCCCGGUAAGUCCGCUCUGAAAGUCCAGGGCUCAACCCUGGAAAGCGGGUGGAUACUGCCGGGCUAGAAUCCGGAAGAGGCGAGUGGAAUUCCUGGUGUAGCGGUGGAAUGCGUAGAUAUCGUGAGGAACACCAGAGGCGAAGGCGGUUUCCUGGACAGUUACUGACGCUCAGGCACGAAAGCAUGGGGAGCAAAAGGG